AAAGUCCAGUUAUGGAAGAAGAAUCUAGAUCCAACAUAUAGCGAGUCUUGUGCUGCUGAAGGUAACGACAGUAGUAAAGCGUAGACAGUGAAACAUUCUAGCUGAAACCAAAUAGUGAACGUGAUAGCCCUGCAAGUGAGGUGUAGUUGAAUCAGAUAUGUUCUACCAUAUAGUAGACAAAAGAAGAUUGGAGGUCAAACUAGUGAAAAUCUCAAAAUUUUCAACCGCCGGGAUCGUAGGCGU
rfam:Orientia tsutsugamushi str. TT76 ut76.contig.57_1, whole genome shotgun sequence.